ACCGGUACGUACACGGAAUCGGUUGUUGCGUUUGAAACGGAAUAUGUGAACGAUUCGAAUUGAAUUCUGUUUAUGAAUUCCGUUUGAGUUGACUGGGCAAUAGCGCCACCUGAACUCUCUGAGAAACGUAACGCAAUCAGUUUGAUCGUUGGAUAAAAUCGGGCUGAUGGAAGCCGAUCGAGGCGUUAAAUUUCUCAGUGGGAAUGUCAAGCAAAAUAGUGUAAGCGAACCUGAACAUUCUUUAAAUUCACCACGAGAAAUGUCACAUCAAAGAUGACGUUUCCCCAGAUUUCAAAAGUGAGCAUUGUUUAUAUAAAAUCAAAACAUAUCGAGCAACAUUCAAAUUUAAUUUUAUUUAUCAAAUCGCUUAUAAAAGUCGCUAAAUUGCUCAAUGAAAUUAAGAAUUGAGUUGCACAAUACCCAGAAUACAGGAACCUGUGAACAACUGCCAUGGAUAUUUAUGUGAGCAUAGACAGCGAACAGAACCAGCAGCUGUAUUGCAGGGUGCGGGCGUGAUGUAAUGCAACGAGAAAAAGUGAAUCACUUUGAAUUAGAGCCUCUGAUAAUUGGCUAUGGUCAUUUGGGCAUGAUUAACCUCACGGAAACGACGGCCGUUAGUGAUAACGUCGAGCAACAUAUUCGCCUGCAGUUGUAUCAACCCAACGUUGUCGAUCAGCAUCAGCAUAUCAAACGCGCUGACGACCUGUGACUUCGCGUCAGCCGAUGACAGCAAGGUUCUGGACUUUUUUCUUAUGUCAACAUCAUUGGA